rnacentral:lncRNA from 1 species
GGAACCAAAAUUGCCAGCUACUUGGGGAAUAAAUAUAAAGUAACACCACUUCCUUCCUCCCCUUCCCCCAAAUUGGCCUGUUAACAAAUGGAGUCAGUUCUGAUUGGACUAAAAGGGUCAGUGUCAUGGACUCCAAGUCUGUCUGUCUAUUAUCUUCACAAAAGCUCUACGUGAUAUUCUGAUAUCAGAGUAGUUUCCAUAUCAGAGGACAACAGAAUUAUAAGAUUUUGAGCUUAGGAUCCUUAAGAUCAUCUAGGUUCUGAGUCUGGAGUCCAUGGACUUCCAUGUCUGUGAAGAUGAAUGGGAAAAAAAUUACAUCUUUAUUUUCAUGAGGCUAUAAUUGAAAUCUAGCAUUUUCUUGAAUUAUUUAAAUAUAUUAUCCUGAGAAGGGGUUUAUUCUCCAGAUUGUUAAAGGGUCCCAAGAUCCAAAAAAAAAGUUAAGAUUCUCUUGGUCUAAUCCAACUUCUUCAUUUUAUGGGUAAAGAAUUUGAGGACAAAAGUGAAGAAGUGAUUUAUUGUUAAAGGGUCCCAAGAUCCAAAAAAAAAAUUAAGAUCCCCUUGAUCUAAUCCAACUUCUUCAUUUUAUGGAAUAAGAAUUUGAGGACAAAAGUGUAGAAAUGAUUUGUUCAAGUCAUUCAGCUAAUAAGUCAAAGUGGAAUGGGGGCAAGGUAUGAAGAGAGAGUUUGGAGAGCAUGCUACCUGUCAUCCCAGAGGGAAGGAGCAUGAAUAGGGGAUAAGAAGACAACAGAGACCCUCUAGCCUUCUUAGAGUCUGGGACAAACUGGGAAUUCAGAUGGCCAACCUGGAUACUUCAAGUUCACAGACCCCAGUUUUGGAAUCCCCAUUCUAGGGAGGCAUUUGAAACCAGGAUAAUGGACUACUUUAGGACAUCUUGUCCUCUAGAAGAAGAUUGAAUGAAGAAGAUGAGAGAACUGAGACUUAGAGUGAUUAGAAUUAAGAACAGAACUAAAAGAUAUAGAGAGCAGCUAGAUGGCUCAGCAGAUUGA